rnacentral:lncRNA from 1 species
ACUUCAUAAUAUUCACUUAAAUCCAUAAAAUACUAUAUUUGGCACUGACAGGAUGGAGAGAAAUUAGGGUCCUAUAUCUCUAUUCUUUAAUUCCAAUAAGAUUCCGUGAUACCAAACCCCCAGGAAAACUUGAAGGCAGAAGGCAGAUCUGGGGACCUGUCAGUUUCUGCAGGAGAGGAGACUCAUCUCACAGCCUGAGACAGAGCUGCCAUCCCACUAACCUGGCUGUGUUACCACGCCUCUCAGGGAAAUGAGUUGAGGGA